rnacentral:rRNA from 1 species
GAUGAACGCUGGCGGCGUGCUUAACACAUGCAAGUCGAACGAAACACCUUAUUUGAUUUUCUUCGGAACUGAAGAUUUGGUGAUUGAGUGGCGGACGGGUGAGUAACGCGUGGGUAACCUGCCCUGUACAGGGGGAUAACAGUCAGAAAUGACUGCUAAUACCGCAUAAGACCACAGCACCGCAUGGUGCAGGGGUAAAACCUCCGGUGGUACAGGAUGGACCCGCGUCUGAUUAGCUGGUUGGUGAGGUAACGGCUCACCAAGGCGACGAUCAGUAGCCGGCUUGAGAGAGUGAACGGCCACAUUGGGACUGAGACACGGCCCAAACUCCUACGGGAGGCAGCAGUGGGGAAUAUUGCACAAUGGGGGAAACCCUGAUGCAGCGACGCCGCGUGAGUGAAGAAGUAUUUCGGUAUGUAAAGCUCUAUCAGCAGGGAAGAAAAUGACGGUACCUGACUAAGAAGCCCCGGCUAACUACGUG